rnacentral:rRNA from 1 species
UACGGAGGGUGCAAGCGUUGUCCGGAAUCACUGGGCGUAAAGGGCGCGUAGGCGGCUUUGUAAGUUAGAGGUGAAAGCCCGGGGCUCAACUCCGGAAUUGCCUUUAAGACUGCAUCGCUAGAAUUGUGGAGAGGUAAGUGGAAUUCCGAGUGUAGAGGUGAAAUUCGUAGAUAUUCGGAAGAACACCAGUGGCGAAGGCGACUUACUGGACACAUAUUGACGCUGAGGUGCGAAAGCGUGGGGAGCAAACAGG